CCUACGGGAGGCAGCAGUGGGGAAUAUUGUACAAUGGGCGCAAGCCUGAUGCAGCCAUGCCGCGUGUGUGAAGAAGGCCUUCGGGUUGUAAAGCACCUUCAGCGGGGAGGAAGGCGGUGAGG
rnacentral:rRNA from 1 species